GCCCGGUUAGCUCAAUCGGUAGAGCGUGAGACUCUUAAUCUCAAGGUUGCGGGUAAGUUACUCUCGAUCUGAGAUUAUUCACGCAAUUAUAUACUAACAUCAUCUCAAGGUUCGACCCCCGCAUCGGGCU
rnacentral:tRNA from 1 species